GCUUACAUUAACUCAAUGGCAAUAAAUAUGCCUUAUUCUGUCACAGAUACAAGGGCGGACCCACAUAGAGUCAUGUGGGGUCAGAAUUUUUUAUUUUUUAUUUUUAUUAUUAUUUUUUUCAGCAGUUGGGAACAAUUCCUUCAACUCUAGUCCAGAGAAAAAUAUAAAGUACAGUCCAUUUCUUGAACCUUCUUCUUCAAGCAAUUGGGAAAAGUUCAGAAAAGCUGCUAUUCCACUGCCAAUCGCAAGACUAAUUUAACCCAUUUUCACUGACAUAUUGGAAGAAACUAGAAGGCAAUUCCACUGACAAUGUUGAAUAUAAAUAGGAGUCUCAGCCAACCACUGUAGUGUAUGCAGAGGGUGAGAAGAGUAGAGAAAGAGAAAGAGAAAGAGAGAGUGAUAAAGGAGAAGAAGUUCUGUGAGAGAAAUUGAGAGGGGCAAUGAGUGGAGAGAAUUUGCCAAUAUAUAAUAUAGAGUGAAUGGUAGUGAGAUAAGAGAAAUGCAAAUAUGGAGAGAGAAGAAAGAAUUGAGGGAAUAGUUAGAGAAAAUGGGAUGAAUGUAUUGUGUAUGUGAGAGAUGGUGUGGCAGUAUAAAAAAAGUUGUGUAGAG
rnacentral:lncRNA from 1 species